rnacentral:rRNA from 1 species
GACGAACGCUGGCGGCGUGCUUAACACAUGCAAGUCGAACGGAAAGGCCCUGCUUUUGUGGGGUGCUCGAGUGGCGAACGGGUGAGUAACACGUGAGUAACCUGCCCUUGACUUUGGGAUAACUUCAGGAAACUGGGGCUAAUACCGGAUAGGAGCUCCUGCUGCAUGGUGGGGGUUGGAAAGUUUCGGCGGUUGGGGAUGGACGCGCGGCUUAUCAGCUUGUUGGUGGGGGAGUGGCUUACCCAGGCUUUGAAGGGUAGCCGGCCUGAGAGGGUGACCGGCCACAUUGGGACUGAGAUACGGACCAGACUGCUACGGGAGGCAGCAGUGGGGAAUAUUGCACAAUGGGCGGAAGCCUGAUGCAGCAACGCCGCGUGCGGGAUGACGGCCUUCGGGUUGUAAACAGCUUUCGCCUGUGACGAAGCGUGAGUGACGGUAAUGGGUAAAGAAGCACCGGCUAACUACGUG